AUUGAACGCUGGCGGCACGCCUAACACAUGCAAGUCGAGCGGCAGCAUGCUUAGUAGCAAUACUAAGUGAUGGCGAGCGGCGGACGGGUGAGGAACACGUAGGAACCUGCCCAAGAGAGGGGGACAACCAAGGGAAACUUUGGCUAAUACCGCAUAAUCUCUUAGGAGAAAAGUCGCCCGCAAGGGUGGCGCUUUUGGAGGGGCCUGCGUCCGAUUAGCUAGUUGGUGAGGUAAUAGCUCACCAAGGCGAUGAUCGGUAACUGGUCUGAGAGGACGACCAGUCACACUGGGACUGAGACACGGCCCAGACUCCUACGGGAGGCAGCAGUGGGGAAUCUUGGACAAUGGGGGCAACCCUGAUCCAGCGAUGCCGCGUGGGUGAAGAAGGCCUUCGGGUUGUAAAGCCCUUUAGGCGGGGAAGAAGAAUAUGGGGUUAGCAGCCUUGUAUUUUGACGGUACCCGCAGAAUAAGCACCGGCAAACUCUGUGCCAGCAGCCGCCGUAA
rnacentral:rRNA from 1 species